rnacentral:rRNA from 1 species
AACGAAGGGAGCUAGCGUUGUUCGGAAUCACUGGGCGUAAAGCGCACGUAGGCGGAUUUGUCAGUCAGGGGUGAAAUCCCGGGGCUCAACCUCGGAACUGCCUUUGAUACAGCAAGUCUUGAGUUCGAGAGAGGUGGGUGGAAUUCCUAGUGUAGAGGUGAAAUUCGUAGAUAUUAGGAAGAACACCGGUGGCGAAGGCGGCCCACUGGCUCGAUACUGACGCUGAGGUGCGAAAGCGUGGGGAGCAAACAGG